UAACCCAUACGUCAUAUUUAAGACAUUUUUAAAUAAUUUGUCUACGAUUUCAAUGAAUAACUCGUAAAAUACAACAAGAACUGGUUAUGUUAUUUCUAGGUUGAUUUUUCAAUUUAUGUUAUCUCUUUUUCUGUGUUCUUUAAUAGUUAUGUGUUAUGUAGGGUUUGUUUUUUCCCUUUUUAUUCUAUUUAGUGUGUCGUUAUCUUGUAUAUAUAUAAACAUAUAUAUAAGAAUCAAAAUUAUGUAGGGUUUGUUUUUUCCCUUUUUAUUCUAUUUAGUGUGUCGUUAUCUUGUAUAUAUAUAAACAUAUAUAUAAGAAUCAAAUAUGAAUAACCCAUACGUCAUAUUUAAAACAUUUUUAAAU
rnacentral:lncRNA from 1 species